AAGGGCACCACAAGAACGCGUGGAGCAUGUGGCUUAAUUUGACUCAACGCGGGAAAUCUUACCGGGUCCGGACACACUGAGGAUUGACAGGUAACAUCUCACAUUCAUAUGUUCGCAUAUAAUGUGAGUAUAAAUAUGCUAGUCCUUUCAUGAUUAUGUGAUAGGUGGUGCAUGGCCGUUCUUAGUUCGUGGAGUGAUCUGUCUGCUUAAUUGCGUUUCACUAUUGGGUCUAUACAUACGCAUAUGCGUUGCGGCCUUUGACCCCUCAUAUCUCGCAUAUGAGUGCGCGUCUUACGCUUAGCUCGCUGUGCAUUAGACCCUGAAAGCAACGAACGUGACCGCAACCUCUUGUUGCUUUCAUCACACAAUCAAUCACAUACUCGUAUGUGCAUUGAUAAGAAAGCUUGUCGUUCGCGACUACAUAAACUAGAGGGACCGCUGUUACUUUCUUAAACCAGAGGAAGGUUGCGGCAAUAACAGGUCUGUGAUGCCCUUAGAUGUUCCGGGCUGCACACGUGCUACAAUGAUUAUUGCAGUGAGCAUCUCAUUUUAUUACACACCGCACGUGCGCGUCUAUAUAUUUCUUACUCUUCGGAGUAUUAUAUAUACGAUCGCUGCACGCGGUAAAGCCUACUUCGAAAGUAAGCGGGUAAUCAAUUAGAAGUAAUGAUUUCCACACACACUCUCGUAUACUGCACACAUAUAUGCGGCGUAUAUACCCGGCAUGCCUUGUUGCAUGUUAUUGUGCGUAUGUACGUACUUUUUCCGCAUGUGCAAUGGUCAAUUCAUGGUGGGGACAGACCAUUGUUUCAAUUGUUGGUCUCGGUCUUAACUAGGAAUGCCUUGUACGGGUCUUUGGUUCAACAAACCACCCGGAAUACGUCCCUGCCCUUUGUACGCACCGCCCGUCGCUCUUACCGAUGGACUUCUCUGUGAGUUUGAGGGACUGUACUGUCAUUCUCACGAAUGACUAUUAGGAAACUUAAACGAACAGUGUGGUCUAAAGGAAAGAGAAGUCGAACAAGGCA
rnacentral:rRNA from 1 species